UACGUAGGGGGCGAGCGUUGUCCGGAUUUAUUGGGCGUAAAGAGCGUGUAGGCGGCCAGGUAGGUCUGCUGUGAAAACUCGAGGCUCAACCUCGAGACGUCGGCGGAAACCAUCUGGCUAGAGUCCGGAAGAGGAGAGUGGAAUUCCUGGUGUAGCGGUGAAAUGCGCAGAUAUCAGGAAGAACACCGGUGGCGAAGGCGGCUUCCUGGACCGACACUGACGCUGAGGCGCGAAAGCUAGGGGAGCAAACGGG
rnacentral:rRNA from 1 species